UCGAGCGGACAGAAGGGAGCUUGCUCCCGGAUGUUACCGGCGGACGGGUGAGUAACACGUGGGUAACCUGCCUGUAAUACUGGGAUAACUCCGGGAAACCGGAGCUAAUACCGGAUAGUUCCUUGAACCACAUGGUUCAAGGAUGAAAGACGGUUUCGGCUGUCACUUACAGAUGGACCCGCGACGCAUUAGCUAGUUGGUGAGGUAACGGCUCACCAAGGCGACGAUGCGUAGCCGACCUGAGAGGGUGAUCGGCCACACUGGGACUGAGACACGGCCCACACUCCUACGGGAGGCAGCAGUAGGGAAUCUUCCGCAAUGGACGAAAGUCUGACGGAGCAACGCCGCGUGAGUGAUGAAGGUUUUCGGAUCGUAAAGCUCUGUUGUUAGGGAAGAACAAGUGCAAGAGUAACUGCUUGCACCUUGACGGUACCUAACCAGAAAGCCACGGCUAACUACGUGCCAGCAGCCGCGGUAAUACGUAGGUGGCAAGCGUUGUCCGGAAUUAUUGGGCGUAAAGGGCUCGCAGGCGGUUUCUUAAGUCUGAUGUGAAAGCCCCCGGCUCAACCGGGGAGGGUCAUUGGAAACUGGGAAACUUGAGUGCAAAAGAGGAGAGUGGAAUUCCGCGUGUACCGCUGAAAUGCGUAGAGAUGUGGAGGAACACCAGUGACGAAGGCGACUCUCUGGUCUGU
rnacentral:rRNA from 1 species